AAAAAAAUUUAAAAAUCAACUUUUUAAAAAUAUAUAUUUUUAAAAAAAUAAAUAAUAAGGAACCGAAAGAGUAGUUUUUAUAUCUUUCGAUUUCGCACUAGUUUCUACAGAAUUUCAUUACAUUCUUGGAGAUGUUCUUAUUCAUCUACCAGUAUAACUUUCUUCAAUUAGGCGUUUUU
rnacentral:sRNA from 1 species